rnacentral:rRNA from 1 species
CCGUACGGGGAGGCAGCGUGGGGGGAAUAUUGCACAAUGGGCGCAAGCCUGAUGCAGCCAUGCCGCGUGUGUGAAGAAGGACCUUCGGGUUGUAAAGCACUUUCAGUCGUGAGGAAGGUGGUAGUGUUAAUAGCACUAUCAUUUGACGUUAGCGACAGAAGAAGCACCGGCUAACUCCGUGCCAGCAGCCGCGGUAAUACGGAGGGUGCGAGCGUUAAUCGGAAUUACUGGGCGUAAAGCGCAUGCAGGUGGUUUGUUAAGUUCAGAUGUGAAAGCCCGGGGCGUCAACCUCGGAAUAGCAUUUGAAACUAGGCAGACUAGAGUACUGUAGAGGGGGGUAGGAAUUUCAGGUGUAGCGGUGAAAUGCGUAGAGAUCUGAAGGAAUACCGGUGGCGAAGGCGGCCCCCUCGGACAGAUACUGACACUCAGAUGCGAAAGCGUGGGGAGCAAACAGGAUUAGAUACCCUGGUAG